AUGGCGCCCCCUCAGGCCGAUUCCCCUCGCUGGGAGCACCACUCAGUUUUGAAAAAUUGGAAUUGUGAGAUGCGGGUUUUAACUUUUAAGAACAUCCAGGGCACAUCUUUUCUUGGAAUGCAGUUAGCUCGGUGGUGGUCAUCUGAGAUGUCAGUGGCACCUGAAGAUGUAUCAAAAUCUGUUGCACAAAGUAAAGGAGCACUGAGGACAGCGACUUCCAUCUUGGCCUGUAUGAUGCUGGUUCGGCCGUGGCCUUUGAUAUCUCAGGACCAAGGAAUGAACAUGAAGCAAAUUAUAACACUCAGAUUCAUGGCGGUGCUAGACAGGGCAGGGCAAGAGAGCACAAGGAAGAAUGCCAAAGGGGGCAUCAUAAAUGGGAGUUCGUCGUUAUGA
rnacentral:rRNA from 1 species